rnacentral:rRNA from 1 species
UACGGAGGAUGCGAGCGUUAUCCGGAUUUAUUGGGUUUAAAGGGUGCGCAGGCGGAAUGUCAAGUCAGCGGUAAAAUUUCGGGGCUCAACCCCGUCGUGCCGUUGAAACUGGCUGUCUUGAGAUGUCGAGAGGUAUGCGGAAUGCGCAGUGUAGCGGUGAAAUGCUUAGAUAUUGCGCAGAACUCCGAUUGCGAAGGCAGCUUACCAGUCUGCGACUGACGCUCAGGCACGAAAGUGUGGGUAUCGAACAGG